rnacentral:rRNA from 1 species
AGGUGAACCUGCGGAAGGAUCAUUACAGAGUUCAUGCCCGAAAGGGUAGACCUCCCACCCUUGUGUAUUAUUACUUUGUUGCUUUGGCGAGCUGCCUUCGGGCCUUGUAUGCUCGCCAGAGAAAACCAAAACUCUUUUUAUUAAUGUCGUCUGAGUACUAUAUAAUAGUUAAAACUUUCAACAACGGAUCUCUUGGUUCUGGCAUCGAUGAAGAACGCAGCGAAAUGCGAUAAGUAAUGUGAAUUGCAGAAUUCAGUGAAUCAUCGAAUCUUUGAACGCACAUUGCGCCCCUUGGUAUUCCGGGGGGCAUCCCUGUUCGAGCGUCAUUUCAACCCUCAAGCUUAGCUUGGUAUUGAGUCYAUGUCAGUAAUGGCAGGCUCUAAAAUCAGUGGCGGCGCCGCUGGGUCCUGAACGUAGUAAUAUCUCUCGUUACAGGUUCUCGGUGUGCUUCUGCCAAAACCCAAAUUUUUCUAUGGUGACCUCGGAUCAGGU